UGGGGAAUAUUGGACAAUGGGCGCAAGCCUGAUCCAGCAAUGCCGCGUGUGUGAAGAAGGCCUUCGGGUUGUAAAGCACUUUUAUCAGGAGCGAAACGCUGUCGGCUAAUACCCGGCGGAACUGACGGUACCUGAGGAAUAAGCACCGGCUAACUUCGUGCCAGCAGCCGCGGUAAUACGAAGGGUGCAAGCGUUAAUCGGAAUUACUGGGCGUAAAGCGUGCGUAGGCGGUUUCUUAAGUCUGCUGUGAAAUCCCCGGGCUCAACCUGGGAAUGGCAGUGGAUACUGGGAGGCUAGAGUGUGUCAGAGGGUGGUGGAAUUCCCGGUGUAGCGGUGAAAUGCGUAGAGAUCGGGAGGAACAUCAGUGGCGAAGGCGGCCACCUGGGACAACACUGACGCUGAGGCACGAAAGCGUGGGGAGCAAACAG
rnacentral:rRNA from 1 species